rnacentral:rRNA from 1 species
AGCGAACGCUGGCGGCAGGCCUAACACAUGCAAGUCGAACGAACCUUUCGGGGUUAGUGGCGGACGGGUGAGUAACACGUGGGAACGUGCCUUUAGGUUCGGAAUAACUCAGGGAAACUUGUGCUAAUACCGAAUGUGCCCUUCGGGGGAUAGAUUUAUCGCCUUUAGAGCGGCCCGCGUCUGAUUAGCUAGUUGGUUGAGGUAAUGGCUCACCAAGGCGACGAUCAGUAGCUGGUCUGAGAGGAUGAUCAGCCACAUUGGGACUGAGACACGGCCCAAACUCCUACGGGAGGCAGCAGUGGGGAAUCUUGCGCAAUGGGCGAAAGCCUGACGCAGCCAUGCCGCGUGAAUGAUGAAGGUCUUAGGAUUGUAAAAUUCUUUCACCGGGGACGAUAAUGACGGUACCCGGAGAAGAAGCCCCGGCUAACUUCGUG